GUUCAGAGUAGAAGCUGAUAAAAAAGAAACCACGAUCGACGAUGUUACACUUUUGUCGCUAUCGGGUGUGGAAAUUUUUGGUGCUUUUGUUGUGCUACGUUCUCCUUCACUGAGUGAUAGAACUGGAGUUCUUAAUGCUACAUCAUCAGUGAAAGAAACUCUGCAAGCAGCUGGAAUAAAGGUCAAGGUUGAUGACUCUGAUCAGAGAACACCUGGAUGGAAAUAUAACUUUUAGGAGAU